GUUGGAUUUGUGGUUGGGUUCGUCGGUCCGGCACAUUGUGCGGGUACUUGAUGGACUCGUCCAUCCUUGGGUGGAAUCUGUGUGGCAUUAAGUUGUCGUGCAGGGGAUGCCCAUCGUUUACUGUGAAAAAAUUAGAGUGUUCAAAGCAGGCUUAUGCCGUUGAAUAUAUUAGCAUGGAAUAAUGAGAUAGGACCUUGGUACUAUUUUGUUGGUUUGCGCACCGAGGUAAUGAUUAAUAGGGACAGUUGGGGGUAUUCGUAUUCCAUUGUCAGAGGUGAAAUUCUUGGAUUUUUGGAAGACGAACUACUGCGAAAGCAUUUACCAAGGAUGUUUUCAUUAAUCAAGAACGAAAGUUAGGGGAUCGAAGAUGAUUAGAUACCAUCGUAGUCUUAACCAUAAACUAUGCCGACAAGG
rnacentral:rRNA from 1 species